rnacentral:rRNA from 1 species
AUGGCUCCCGGUGCUCCGAUGAAGAAGAUAAUUGCCAUCACCGCCAUGAUGCUGGCCACCGCCUUCAUCGUGGCGGCCGAGCAAGAGGCGGGAGCCUGCAUUGUGGAGACAUCCGACGUCCCUGGUGCCGCAAAUCCCUGCAUCUGCUCCGAGAACUGCGCCUGCGCCGGCAAGUGCAUCCUGAAUGCCGGCGACGGCGCGGGUGACGUCCAGACCUGCUUCGUCGAGUGCGUGCUGAAGAACGGCUGUGGCGGCUGCCCAGUACCCUGGACAAGACCCCUCCCGGCCACCUUGGACCAGACCCUGAGCCUGAAAGUGACAAGGCCUAAGCCCUCGCAGAGAUUCCACGGGAGGGAGAUGCUUCGCAUCAUCUUCGACGUCGAGCCCCAUGGCACGGACACCCCUGUGAUUGAGGUGUACUUAUAUGUGCCGGAGGGCAAAGAUACUAGCGACAGCUCCCAGCACUACCUGCUUACGUUUCCGCAGAAGCCAAGCGACCCGGGGGCAAUCAUGGACAUACGCGGCGUGCUGCGGCAAAUCGGAGCGGACGACGGCGACGAGACCAUUGAGGUGUUGUUCGUGCCCAAGGCCUGGGGAGAAAGGGUUACUAUAACCAGUGUCAAGAUCGAGUAG